rnacentral:tRNA from 1 species
GCUCGAGAAGCUCAAUUGGUUGAGCAGGGCAUUGAAGCUGCCUUGGCUGAAAGUUCGAAUCUUUCCUCGAGCA